rnacentral:rRNA from 1 species
GAUGAACGCUGGCGGCGUGCCUAAUACAUGCAAGUCGAGCGAACGGACGAGAAGCUUGCUUCUCUGAUGUUAGCGGCGGACGGGUGAGUAACACGUGGAUAACCUACCUAUAAGACUGGGAUAACUUCGGGAAACCGGAGCUAAUACCGGAUAAUAUUUUGAACCGCAUGGUUCAAAAGUGAAAGACGGUCUUGCUGUCACUUAUAGAUGGAUCCGCGCUGCAUUAGCUAGUUGGUAAGGUAACGGCUUACCAAGGCAACGAUGCAUAGCCGACCUGAGAGGGUGAUCGGCCACACUGGAACUGAGACACGGUCCGGACUCCUACGGGAGGCAGCAGUAGGGAAUCUUCCGCAAUGGGCGAAAGCCUGACGGGGCAACGCCGCGUGAGUGAUGAAGGUCUUCGGAUCGUAAAACUCUGUUAUUAGGGAAGAACAUAUGUGUAAGUAACUGUGCACAUCUUGACGGUACCUAAUCAGAAAGCCACGGCUAACUACGUGCCAGCAGCCGCGGUAAUACGUAGGUGGCAAGCGUUAUCCGGAAUUAUUGGGCGUAAAGCGCGCGUAGGCGGUUUUUUAAGUCUGAUGUGAAAGCCCACGGCUCAACCGUGGAGGGUCAUUGGAAACUGGAAAACUUGAGUGCAGAAGAGGAAAGUGGAAUUCCAUGUGUAGCGGUGAAAUGCGCAGAGAUAUGGAGGAACACCAGUGGCGAAGGCGACUUUCUGGUCUGUAACUGACGCUGAUGUGCGAAAGCGUGGGGAUCAAACAGGAUUAGAUACCCUGGUAGUCCACGCCGUAAACGAUGAGUGCUAAGUGUUAGGGGGUUUCCGCCCCUUAGUGCUGCAGCUAACGCAUUAAGCACUCCGCCUGGGGAGUACGACCGCAAGGUUGAAACUCAAAGGAAUUGACGGGGACCCGCACAAGCGGUGGAGCAUGUGGUUUAAUUCGAAGCAACGCGAAGAACCUUACCAAAUCUUGACAUCCUUUGACAACUCUAGAGAUAGAGCCUUCCCCUUCGGGGGACAAAGUGACAGGUGGUGCAUGGUUGUCGUCAGCUCGUGUCGUGAGAUGUUGGGUUAAGUCCCGCAACGAGCGCAACCCUUAAGCUUAGUUGCCAUCAUUAAGUUGGGCACUCUAAGUUGACUGCCGGUGACAAACCGGAGGAAGGUGGGGAUGACGUCAAAUCAUCAUGCCCCUUAUGAUUUGGGCUACACACGUGCUACAAUGGCCAAUACAAAGGGCAGCGAAACCGCGAGGUCAAGCAAAUCCCAUAAAGUUGUUCUCAGUUCGGAUUGUAGUCUGCAACUCGACUACAUGAAGCUGGAAUCGCUAGUAAUCGUAGAUCAGCAUGCUACGGUGAAUACGUUCCCGGGUCU